CGUUAUUCGGAAUCACUGGGCUUAAAGCGCGUGUAGGCGGGCCGCCACGUCAGUCGCUGAAUUCGCCCGGCUCAACCGGGGAAGUGGCACUGAUACGAGCGGCCUGGAGGGAGGUAGGGGGGGCUGGAACUUCCGGUGGAGCGGUGAAAUGCGUUGAGAUCGGAAGGAACGCCCGUGGCGAAAGCGAGCCCCUGGACCUUUUCUGACGCUGAGACGCGAGAGCUAG
rnacentral:rRNA from 1 species